GGAGGUUGUAACUGUAACGUUGUCUAUAUAUACCCUGUAGAACCGAAUUUGUGUGGUAGUCACACAGUCACAGAUUCGAUUCUAGGGGAAUAUAUGGUCGAUGCAAAAACUUCACGUUUCUC
rnacentral:precursor_RNA from 15 species